CAUCAAAAUCGAACAUAAAAAAAUGAUUUAAGAUUUACGGUAUAUUUUUAAAAUGAGAAGGUAUAUUUUGGUAUAUUUUUGAGGGUCUGACGGUAUAUUUUAUCGAUAGUUUCGCGGUCACACUGCACACAUAAAAUUCAAAAUUGGUCCGAGCGGUUGUGGCGGCGCGAGAUAAAUUGAAAAACUUUAAAAGCAAGUGAAAACAAAAAUAACGCGAAUGUGUUUUCUGAAAAUCAACUCGGCAAGGAAAAAAUUAAAAAAAAAAGCCGUUGAUUUCGUUUGUAAUGUAUACAAAUAACGGUGAAUAAUAAAUAAAUGAUCAAAUCCCUAUCUUAUCUAGGUGGUACUAUAUAAAAACAAUCCUGUGUUAAGUACAAAAAAAAGGGGGAUCUUGUGGUUGGGCUGGUGCGUCGAUU
rnacentral:lncRNA from 1 species